rnacentral:rRNA from 1 species
ACCGCCAGACUUGGGAGCGGGAGAGGUGGGGGGUACUCCCAGGGUAGGGGUAAAAUCCUUUGAUCCUGAGGGGACCACCUGUUGCGAAGGCGGCCCACCAGAACGGAUCCGACGGUGAGGGACGAAAGCUGGGGGCGCGAACCGGAUUAGAUACCCGGGUAGUCCUAGGUGUAAACGCUGUGGACUUGAUGUGGGGCAUGCUCCGAGCCCUUGCAGUGCCGAAGGGAAGCCGUUAAGUCCGCUGCCUGGGGAGUACGGUCGCAAGGCUGAAACUUAAAGGA